UACGGAGGGUGCAAGCGUUAAUCGGAAUUACUGGGCGUAAAGCGCGCGUAGGUGGUUUGUUAAGUUGGAUGUGAAAGCCCAGGGCUCAACCUUGGAACUGCAUUCAAAACUGGCAGACUAGAGUACGAUAGAGGGGGGUAGAAUUCCUAGUGUAGCAGUGAAAUGCGUAGAUAUUAGGAGGAAUACCAGUGGCGAAGGCGGCCCCCUGGAUUGAUACUGACACUGAGGUGCGAAAGCGUGGGGAGCAAACGGG
rnacentral:rRNA from 1 species